AGUAGUGUGGGUGGACGAGGACAGCGGGUGGAACUGGUCCUUCUGUGACUUUGCAGCCCCGGCUUGGUGAUAAUUUUUGUGCAGGCUUCUUGACAUGGAAAGCAGAGCUCCCCAGCACAGAGUGAGCCUCCGAAGGGCUCCUGCCCUUACCGGUGCCCUACCCUCCCUUUCCCUGCUUGCUACACUUGGGUCCGGGACUCAGCCUCCCUUUGCAAGCUUCUGCUCGGCCUGUGUGCAGCUGCACUUAGCUGGCAGGGUCAGGCGUUGAGUAGCCGCUCCGCUCCUUCUGCAGCCUCCUGCAGCCCCCGCCAGCUCCCGGGCUCCAUCCCUCACCAUCAGUUGCUGAUUGGCGCCCCCUGCGUGCACAACGGAGGCUGGCUGCACCUGGAGGUUCCCAGCAAUUCCAGGCCGGCUCCAGCCUAGCCAAAGCAGCUAACUUCUCUGCUGUCUCGUGGGCUGAACCUCACCGUUUCCCAAGAGGAGCUGCCUGGCAAUGGUAGCAGGUGAAGGUCAUGGUGAAGAAGAUGCAGAUAUUGGCAAUUUGGAGCAUUAGAUGAACUAAUUACAACGUUAACCUAAGGAACAGUGCAACAGAAAAUGGGCUAAGACAUGGAGCAAGGGGCAGAACGACUCUUGAAGAUGCUGAGCAACUUCUGUGAGGACAACAUGGAAUGAUCCCUAAGGUGGAGCAGGAAGCUGUCAAGAGAGGGGAAAAGGUGAAGGAUUCCUGGAGGCUGCUCAGCAAUCCAUCUAAGACAAAAUGCAAAAGAACCUCUUAAAGAUCUUUCCCUACACUGGUGGCCUGGGGAACAAAUCACAUUUGGAGAAUUGAAGAAAUCUUAAAAUGCAAGCAUAUUAAGCCCUUUUCCCCCAAAUCACUUAAGGUAUCUAAUACUUAUUAAAUAAUUAUAUGUGCAUGUAUCAGGCAUUGGACUCAACACUCUACCCACAUUAUUCCAUUGAGUUUUCACAGCAAAUGUGUCCUAUUGUAUUCCCAUUUUACACACGGAAAAACUGAGGCUCAGGGAAUUGAAUGGACUUGCCCAGAUUGUUAAGUGGUGGAUCUGCGAAGGGAGGCCAGUGAGCCUGACUCAGAAUUUGGUGCUUUAAACUAUCAUUGGCAAUUGCACAUGAAUUGUCUACCUUUUCUGACAGCUUCAUAGAGACAUGUAAAAAUAUUGGUGCUCCUCAUGGAUCUAUCUUGAGCCCACUUUUAUGAUUCUUACCUUACACACUUACAGGGGGGUUGAUCUGUUAUUUCCUCUGCAUGAAAUUCCAUGUUUAUGUUUUUCAGCUUCAUAUUUCUGUAUCCAGCUACCUGCUGCUGUCUUUAUCUGCUUCCCUAUUUAAACUUCAACUCAACAUAUUCACAACUGAAUUUACUCCUUUUUUUGUAAAUCUUCUUUCCCUCAAAUAUUCCCUGCCAUAGUCGAAUGACGCCCUCAACCAGCCAGUUGCCCCAGGGGGAACCUGAAAAUUAUUCCUAAAACCUGCUGUGUUAGGCUGUUCUUGCAUUGCUAUGAAGAAAUAUCUGAGACUGGGUAAUUUAUAAAGAAAAGAGAAUUAAUUGGCUCACAAUUCUGUAGGCUGUACAGGAAGCACGAUGCUGGCAUUUGAUUGGCUUCUGGGGAGGCCUCAGGAGGCUUACAAUCAUGGUGGAAGGCAAAGGAGGAGCAGGCAUGUCUCAUGGCAAAAUUAAGAAGCUAGCAAAGGUUGUGGGAGGGGUUGCCACACACUUUUAAAUGAUUAGAUCUUGAAAGAACUCACUAUCACAAAGAUAGCACCAAGCCAUGAGAGAUCUGCCCCCGUGAUCCAAACACCUCCCACCAGGCCCCACCUCCAGCAUUGGGGAUUACAAUUCAACAUGAUAUUUGGGUGGGGAUAAAUAUACAGACUGUAUCACCUCCCUCCCUCCCCAUAUCUUGGAAUGUGUUCUUCUUUAGUCUUGCUCCACUAUAUUUUGUCCAUUCUGGUUGACAUUGCCUGUUUAUUAUUUUUGAUCAUUGCAGCUGUUUUUAAACUGUUUUUCUUAUCUUUAUUAUCAGUCUCACAAGUCUACCUCACUUAGAGCUACUAGAAGUUGUUUUAUUAAAAAUUCAUACUUAAAUGCAAAUCUCAAGGCACAGAGGCACUGUGGCUGGACCAUAGGGCUGGUGCCACCAUGCUGGUCACCAGGAAGACUUUCUGUUGGCACUGGGAUAACUCAGAGUCAGAGGAAGAUGAAGAUGAUGCAGAGGAGGUUCAAUUAAAACUUGAAUAGACCAGAGAAGUACAUAAUAGAAGGAAGAGAUUCAACGGGUGCUGUGGCCCUGCUGUUGGGAAAGAAGAGACCAAUCAGAUCCCUUUCAGAUGAAGAUAGGUGAUGUGGAUAUGAAGAAACUGAAGGAAAAGAGCAAAGAUAAAAUCAGUAAAGAGGAAGACUUUCACUUGGGGACAUCAUUUUCUGCAGAAACCAACUGAAGGGAUGAGGAUGCAGACAUGAUGAAGUACACUGAGACAGAGCUAAAGAAGAGGAAAGGGAUUGUGGAACAUGAGGAACAGAAAGUCAAGCCAAGGAAUGCAGAGGAUUGUCUUUAUGAACUUCCAGAAAACAUCCACAUUUCCUCAGCAAAGAAGACCAAGAAGAUGUUUUCCAACCAGAUGCUGAGUGGCAUUCCUGAGUUGGACCUUGGCAUCAAUGCUAGAAUAAAAAAUAUCAUUUCUUCAGAGGAUGCCAAGGUCCAUCUGCUGGCAGAGUAGCAGAAUAAGAAAAAAGACAGUAAGCUAUCCUUCAUGCCUACCAACAUGUCUGUGAAUUACGUGCAGCAGAACAGAUUUUAUCAUGAGGAGCUCAACGUUCCCAUACAGAGAAACACAGAAGAACCCAAAACCAGACUCUUGAGGGUAGGCGACACGGAGAAGCUAGGUGACACAGAGAAGGCAGAGGCUGAGAGGUCCCCUCCUAACCACAAGCAUCCUGAUAAGCAGAAGGCCACUGAUGACUAUCGUUAUAAAAAGGUCAAGAAGAUGAACAGGCAGUACUGAGCUGUGCAGAAUGGGAUGUAAAUAUUGCCUUCCUCUCCCUCUCUCCAUUCCUCCCAUGAAAAAUGGCUUCCUGGACUGAGAAUGCUCAGUUGCUAGCA
rnacentral:lncRNA from 1 species